rnacentral:rRNA from 1 species
UGGGGAAUCUUGGACAAUGGGCGCAAGCCUGAUCCAGCCAUGCCGCGUGAGUGACGAAGGCCUUAGGGUUGUAAAACUCUUUCAGCGGGGACGAUAAUGACGGUACCCGCAGAAGAAGCUCCGGCUAACUUCGUGCCAGCAGCCGCGGUAAUACGAAGGGGGCUAGCGUUGUUCGGAUUUACUGGGCGUAAAGCGCAUGUAGGCGGGUCGUUAAGUUGGAGGUGAAAUCCCGAGGCUCAACCUCGGAACUGCCUUCAAAACUGGCGACCUGGAGCGUGAUAGAGGCGAGUGGAAUUGCGAGUGUAGAGGUGAAAUUCGUAGAUAUUCGCAGGAACACCAGUGGCGAAGGCGACUCGCUGGAUCAUUGCUGACGCUGAGACGCGAAAGCGUGGGGAGCAAACAGGAUUAGAUACCCCCGUAGUCC